rnacentral:tRNA from 1 species
GGGGAUUUAGCUCAGUUGGUAGAGUGCUUGCCUUGCAUGCAAAAGCCCCUGGGUUCAAUUCCCAUCACCACCA